CCGCUGCCAUCCCGGUUAGGUGGAUAGUUGUUCUGGUACUGUGGCUGCUGCAUUCCACCACCCGGCUGCUGCUGGUAGUUGUUGUUGUUACCUGACCAUCCUGCAUUUGGUGGACCUCCCCCUCCCAUGUUGUUCUGCGGUGGUGCUCCUCCAUAGUUCGGUGGAGGCGCUCCUCCGUAGUUUGGUGGUGGUGCUCCUCCCAUGUUGUUUUGUGGUGGCGUUCCUCCUCCGUAGUUCGGUGGUGGUGGUCCUCCAUAGUUCGGUGGUGGUGGUGGUGCGCCUCCGUAGUUUGCUGGAGGCCUCUGCCCUCCCAUAUUGUUAUGUGGCGGUGGUGGUCCUCCAUAGUUUGGUGGAGGCCUUUGUCCAUAAUUCUGCCCCAUGGGAGGUGGAGGGGGUGCAGAGCCACCCAUGUGAGGUGGAGGAGGGCCACCCAUGGGAGGACGUUGAGGAGGAGGGCCUCCAGCCAUGUUCUCUCUUCUCCUCUCAAAAUUUCUGCUUCUAUCAAAGUUUUUAGGACGGUCAUUGCGCCUGUUUCUUUCAUUGGCUCUAGCAUUGUUCCUUAUCCAUUCCUCGUGGUACUUGGGGUCAU
rnacentral:lncRNA from 1 species